GAAAAUAGUUUAUCAUGAUUUUAAAAUGAGUUUGUAAAAUGUUUUUCAUGAUUCAGCUGAAAAUAACCUACAUAAUUACUCUGCAAAACUAAUAAGUUAAAAGAAAAAAUCCUCAAAACCCUAGGCAGUCGCCUCUUUUUCUCAGAAUUUUUUCUUCUUCAAUUGUUUUCUGGCCAACGUCCGAUUUGACUCCGAUUUUGGCAGAAUCUGGAAGUGAAGAUGUUUUAUUGGGUGGUUUUCGGUUGCAUCUGUGAUAGUUCGAUGGGCUAUUCAUUGGAAGACAUGGUGUUAUAAUGUGAAGAGACAAAACUUGAUCUUCUAAUCCAGGUGGAUGAGCAGCCCCAGAGCAGCCGAAAGAGAGAAUCUGAACUGAGAGAUGGAACUUGAGUCCGCCAUGGUGGAAGAGAAACCUCCUCAAGACAGUACCCAGAUGCAAGUGUCAGUGUCAUCACCACAAGAGAACGCGAAGAAAGAUGUUCGAUGGAGGCACUGCAUCAUCAAACGAAGACACCAAGCAACAACUUCAAAGUCCAAAAGAUCUCAACGCUGGAUCUAUUUUGACCAACUCCAUAGACCAGCACAGUUUGCAAGUUUGGGUAAGAGGAUAGACGAGGACGAGGAGAAAAAUUAUGAUGAAGAAGGUUAAGGCAAAACAGCACCAAAUAGGACAUAAAUAGAGUAGCAGCAUUUAGCGGUUAGUCUAGAAAAUGCUUCUUCUGUUGUCAAAAUCUCCUACCUGUUUCCAUGUAUUGUAAUGAAUCAAAGAUUGUACGCCCUUUAAAAAUUCUUUAUCUAUCCUUAUAUG